AACGAACGCUGGCGGCAGGCCUAACACAUGCAAGUCGAGCGGACCUUUCGGGGUCAGCGGCGGACGGGUGAGUAACGCGUGGGAAUAUGCCCUUCUCUACGGAAUAGUCCUGGGAAACUGGGGUAAUACCGUAUACGCCCUUUGGGGGAAAGAUUUAUCGGGGAAGGAUUAGCCCGCGUUGGAUUAGGUAGUUGGUGGGGUAAUGGCCUACCAAGCCGACGAUCCAUAGCUGGUUUGAGAGGAUGAUCAGCCACACUGGGACUGAGACACGGCCCAGACUCCUACGGGAGGCAGCAGUGGGGAAUCUUAGACAAUGGGGGCAACCCUGAUCUAGCCAUGCCGCGUGAGUGAUGAAGGCCUUAGGGUUGAAAAGCUCUUUCAGCUGGGAAGAUAAUGACGGUACCAGCAGAAGAAGCCCCGGCUAACUCCGUG
rnacentral:rRNA from 1 species